rnacentral:rRNA from 1 species
GCCUACGGGGGGCAGCAGUGGGGAAUAUUGCACAAUGGGCGAAAGCCUGAUGCAGCGACGCCGCGUGAAGGAUGAAGUAUUUCGGUAUGUAAACUUCUAUCAGCAGGGAAGAAAAUGACGGUACCUGACUAAGAAGCCCCGGCUAACUACGUGCCAGCAGCCGCGGUAAUACGUAGGGGGCAAGCGUUAUCCGGAUUUACUGGGUGUAAAGGGAGCGUAGACGGCGAUGCAAGCCAGAUGUGAAAGCCCGGGGCUCAACCCCGGGACUGCAUUUGGAACUGUGUGGCUGGAG